rnacentral:rRNA from 1 species
GGGAGCUUCCUGGAUGUUAGCGGCGGACGGGGUGAGUAACACGUGGGUAACCUGCCUGUAAGACUGGGAUAACUCCGGGAAACCGGGGCUAAUACCGGAUGCUUGAUUGAACCGCAUGGUUCAAUUAUAAAAGGUGGCUUUUAGCUACCACUUACAGAUGGACCCGCGGCGCAUUAGCUAGUUGGUGAGGUAACGGCUCACCAAGGCGACGAUGCGUAGCCGACCUGGAGGGUGAUCGGCCACACUGGGACUGAGACACGGCCCAGACUCCUACGGGAGGCAGCAGUAGGGAAUCUUCCGCAAUGGACGAAAGUCUGACGGAGCAACGCCGCGUGAGUGAUGAAGGUUUUCGGAUCGUAAAACUCUGUUGUUAGGGAAGAACAAGUACCGUUCGAAUAGGGCGGUACCUUGACGGUACCUAACCAGAAAGCCACGGCUAACUACGUGCCAGCAGCCGCGGUAAUACGUAGGUGGCAAGCGUUGUCCGGAAUUAUUGGGCGUAAAGCGCGCGCAGGCGGUUUCUUAAGUCUGAUGUGAAAGCCCCCGGCUCAACCGGGGAGGGUCAUUGGAAACUGGGAACUUGAGUGCAGAAGAGGAGAGUGGAAUUCCACGUGUAGCGGUGAAAUGCGUAGAGAGUGGAGGAACACCAGUGGCGAAGGCGACUCUCUGGUCUGUAACUGACGCUGAGGCGCGAAAGCGUGGGGAGAGAACAGGAUUAGAUACCCUGGUAGUCCACGCCGUAAUUCGAUGAGUACUAAGUGUUAGAGGGUUUCCGCCCUUUAGU